GCCGGGGUGGUGAAACGGUAUACACGCUAGGUUUAGGACCUAGUGCCCCUUAAAGGCGUGCAGGUUCGAUUCCUGUCCCCGGCA
rfam:Microgenomates bacterium GW2011_GWC1_43_13 TV71_C0007, whole genome shotgun sequence.